rnacentral:hammerhead_ribozyme from 1 species
ACCCAGCUGACGAGUCCCAAAUAGGACGAAACUGGCGUCCUCGAU